AGUUCCAAUGAAGUUAAGCUUUUGUUGUAUUCUUGCUGUUGAUAGUUUUCCGAUUUACGAUUUCGCGGUUUAUUGUAAGAUAUUUUACAUUAAAAAUAUAUUGAUUUGAAAUUCAAGCCGUUUAUAGCUUUUUUCCCACAAUUAGUCGAUGUUUAUUCUUAUGUUUACUUUGUUGGAUUCCGCCAGUUUUCGUGCGAAGAAUUCACUCAUCACAAGAAAUAGGAGAUGAAAAUUUUUUGUACCCUGUUAUUAACAGUGAUGUAUUAAAGUUGCAUAGAGUAUGUUUGUGGGCUUAAAAUAUUAUUUGCAAAUUUACCAUGCAGUUUUUUGGUACUUCAGUUUAAAAAUAAUUUCCUGUAAAUAAUAUCAAAAGAAAGGCCGGCUACUGACACUAAUCUUCAGGUGGUUUUCUUUGCAUGUUAACUGUAAAAAUAGGCCAUUGGCCUUUUAGUUGCUGGAUAUGAAGGGUAGCUGUUUUGUGUGAGGGCAGUGCCCAUCUUUUCUCCCUCCAGACAAUCCUUGCUUCGUGUCUAUCUUCAUUGACAGGUCCAAAGUUCUUGGCAGCCACAACAGGAACUUUCAUUCUACUUGGUGAUGGCUUUUCUUUGUGGAACUCCAUGUUGUCUUGCUUACCUUGCAGUACAUUCAUCAGUCUUCAAAACAGGAUUUCUUGAUCAUCUUUGAUUCUUUUUCUGGUUACAAGCUUUUGUAAAGCUUUUCUUUUCUUGUAAGCUUCUUGAUCACCUCCUUGUGGUUCAUUGCAAAUCAGUAGAGGGGGCUCCCCAAAAUCGGGUCCGCUGCUUCUCAAAGAAUAGUAAGGAAUAAACCUGGCUAGGGGUGAAUGCCUCCUGUCCACACUAUAGUGAGUUAAUAAGAUUUUUUUCAGUUUGGUAUUCAUUUUCUAUUUGUGUCAUUUGUAUCCUAAGGUUUAAGGUUUUGUAUUGAAGUGUGACUAAACUCAGAUAACAAAAGUGGAGUAUAUUUUAAUUCUGCAUGGAUGUGAUAAAAUAAUGAUAUGCAAUGUCAGAUUUACUAAAUAACACUUUAUAAGCAUUAAUAAAGCUUAAAAAUACUGAAAUGAGAUAAAUGUGAAUCGGUAGCAUACAAAAAAACAUACAUCACUGACGUUCCCUAGCCUGAUGACAAAAAUGAGUGGGGAUGACGUUGUUAACCCCGAAACCAGCCAUAUUUUGGUAAGCCAUGCUUUUGAUAGCCGCACAAAGAUGGGCAAAAUUUGAGCAGUUUUUGGUUGGUUGACCAAUUCAAGUAACAAGACUGGUAUACCAAUGCUUGGAUUUCCUGAAAAGCAUUAAAUAUUUGAAGAGUGUGGAUUAACUUCAUCAAAAGAACAAGAAAAAGUUUACAAUGCCAACCCCGUACAACGUAUUUGUUGCUCUUCAUUCAUACCAGAAUAUUAUUGUGACAAGUGGCAUGUUGAAAAAGGCCUGAUCAGAAACAAAACAUUUUGACACAUCUUGCCAACAAAGGUGGAAUUGAAAGACCGAGAAGUUUGAGAAAGUCUUUCAUCGACUAUCUGGACUGGAUGGCAGUAUCUACUCCUAGUGGCUAGCACAUGCUAGCUAAAUGAGAAAGUCAACUAAACCAUUUGAAUGAGGGACACGAAUUAUUUUUUCUAGGAUACUUUUAUGGACUUCUGCGAGAAGAGAUAAUGAAGGGCUGGUUUACCACCAAAUUCAGAUGUUCAAAGAAAUAGGAAGUGUUCUGAGGAACAGAUACCUAGCAAAGGAUAUCAAGAAGCUGUCUCCACUGCACUAGACAUCUGCUUUGGAAACCUUCAGUAGCCUGAUAAUAAAGUUUUGCCCCAAGCACACAGCAUUUUUCCUAUCUGGAAUGUACUGCAGAGUAUGUGCCACAGCUAAUGCAGAAAAUUUUUCAAAAGUUUGAAGAAAUUCUGACCAUGGUUCAUGGCUUUCUUCCUACCAGAUUUCUGAACAUACCAGAUCUGCUAGCAGGAUAUGAUCAUCCUACCAAGAUGAGGCAUUGGCAACAUAUUCCACAUUUUUGUACUUCUGACCUAUAAGCCUUAAAACAUAAUUGAACAGGAAAGAAAUUAUGUAACCAAGGCAGAUUAUUCCUGUAUUACCAUCUUUUAAACACCUGACGCAGAAUGACAGGGUCUGAACUCAGUUAUUCUUAAAUGAAAAUCACCAAGUAAUCCUUUUCUUGUGUGAAAAAAAAACUAACAGUUGGAAAAGAUAAAGCAGUAAAUAAAAAUAAUAAUAAUAAUAAUGUGAACUUAUAACGCGCAACAUCGAGACCAAGAUGUCACAUGUUUUGUGUGUUUUAUUUCACAAUUUAAAUAAAUUAUUCAUUAUUGAAUGAUGUCAUCUUCAUGGCCAGAAGUGUUGUGAAAACAACUUCCCAGCAUGGUUGUGACAGUGCUUUGUGUAUGCACUUCACAAAUAUAAUGUAAUAGACCACCCAAAAAAAGACAAAUUAUGUUCUAAACUGAAGAGUUAUUGAACUUUUGGUGAACCUAAUUGAAAUAUUUUUGACAAAAAAGUAUUACAUCGAAGUGAAAUGUUGACAAAUUUCUGUUCAAGAUAUGUUUUAUGCAGUCAGUAUAGAUGUAUCAUAUCUGAUAUAGAAGUGCAACACCUAAGAAUGAAGCACGCACCAUUUUCACAGAAACAUCAUGGCUGAAAUCAACAAACUAAACAAACUUUCUAGUGGUCAUAUUGCUACAGCGUUCAAGACCUUUCAAUUUGCUCUCUAUAGAAGGUGAGUUUCACUUCUGUUUGAUGUUAAUGCUGUAAACAUAUAUCAAUAGGUAGAAUAGCUAGCAGAAUAUUGAGUAAUGCCUUUUGGAACAGGCAAUACUUGCUGCUAAGAGUGCCAAAAUUACAACAGCUUUCUUCUUUUUUUUUUUUUUUUUUGGCAGUUAGAUGCUUAUUUGUAAAUAAAAUGUAUAAGACAUGGUUCAAAAAGUUCUGGUGGUUUUUACUAACUAUAAAUUUUGUUUUGGUUUUUAGGUUAGAAAAAAAAAACAGGACUGAGCUGAUGUGGUCCUCAUUUGUUGCAACUCCAGCACAGUGAAAAGCUGUACUGACUAUUUAAGGCCAUUCUUAACAAAUUUGGGCAUUUUUGACCAUGUUUGUCUGAGUACAGUCUUUAAGGGACUUAUGUUUUUGCAUUGGUCUUUCUAAGUAUAAAAGUGUAUUUAGGACAGGGAUAAAUGCAAGAGUUUACCUUGAAAAUUAACUGAUAGUAAAAAAGACAGUGAUGAAUUCAAUGUUUUUAUUCCUUCUUGUCUCAUACAAGAAAUGUUCUUUCUUUAUAUUUAUCACUAAAAUGUUCUGAGAUGGAAAAUUUGAUUUCCUUUGUUAACAGAUUGGUAAUCUUUAUUAUACAGAGAUAGUAAAAAAUUAAGAUCUUAUCUUUUAAGCUAACACAUUACCAAUAAAAAGUAAAGUAAGUCUAGAAUAAAAUAGAGAUAAAAAAUAAAAGAUAAACAGACUUGCAGGGGCUCAGACUUAUAAUGGGGAAACAUUAAGAGUGAUGCUCGCCAAUUUCUUUUUUUUGUUGUUGUUUUGUUGCCAUGAAAUUUACAUUAACACUGGUUUAAGAAAAUAAUUUAGACACAUGCCCUAUAUACUUUUAUUUCUUAUUUGGAAUUUUUGGUUCAUUCUCAUUGUCAUACUAUUACUCCCUUUUUGUAAAACUUUCAGUAAUAUAUUCUGUGAGACGGUAGUUAACUUUUGUCACUUUGAGAUUCUCAACUUUUUUCUUGACUGUACCCCCAGAGGUGAAAGUAAGUCCGUGGGUACCCCUCGCACGUAAGUUCACGCAUAAAAGUACUUAUUUUCAUAAUGGCGUGUGCUUAUUUAUAUGUAAUGUUAUGUUAUAACCAGUUUUAUGUUAUAAUCAGCUUCUAGGUCAUGAUAGGAGAUUUCUUAAUACUAAUCAGUGAAUUACAUUAAGCAAUAGGAAUGAAGUCUUCGGAUAUUUAGUAAGGUAACUCAAAAUUGAUGCUAUAAGUUAUUCUUAGGCUUUUGAAAGGGACAGAGGGAAUUAUGCCACAUCUUAUUUCCAGUUCACAAAAGACCAAACAGGAGAGAGGUAUGAAAUGUGACAGAUGUUGACUCUUGCUUUUUGAAAGUACUGACCUGAGUCAAUCUACAAUAGUGAAACUUGAGAACAAUUGUUUGUAAACAGAAAUACGAAGAUUUCAUAAAUGAAGUGUGAUCAGUACAACAUUUUCUGGAAUUAAAGAAAGUUGCUUAGUUUUAGUGUACUCUUGUAAGUUUGUUGUUUGUAGCUAGUGAAAAAGUGGAGAAGUUUCAUUGUUUUUAUAGUAUGAAAGUUUUAUUGCUUUACAGUGUUACUCUUUGAAUAGAACAGUAGUUUAAAAAAGUGUAGCUGAUAUUUAAACCCAACCACAGAUAUGCAGCAUGCAAACAAAACAACAAAAAUAUGAGCUCACUGACGUAGAGAAGGGACACCAUAUUAAACCAGAAUGACACAUGAAAGAAAAACUCUGUACAACCAUGUACACCAAAAUUUCACACACU
rnacentral:lncRNA from 1 species